rnacentral:misc_RNA from 1 species
GAUGAAGAACGCAGCGAAAUGCGAUAAGUAGUGUGAAUUGCAGAAUUCAGUGAAUCAUCGAAUCUUUGAACGCACAUUGCGCCUUCUAGUAUUCUGGGAGGCAUGCCUGUUUGAGCGUCAUUAAACCUCUCUCAAGUAUGAUUACUUGGAUGUGAAGGAAGAGUACCUUAAACUUAAGGAGUGUUCUCCUUUGAAAUUGAUUAGCAGAUGGUAAUGUUAUUAAAUCCCUGAUGUUGUAAGAAAUAACAGUGGUUUUGUAGACUAUUAUCUAGCUUUAAAUUAUAAUUUUUAUUAUGGUUGACCUCAAAUCAGGUAAGGAUACCCGCUGAACUUAAGCAUAUCAUAAGCGGAGGA